rnacentral:misc_RNA from 1 species
UUAGGUUAUCGCAAGCUUGCCACCUGGAGACGACGUUGCGCCUUCUCGUUGUUGAAGACGAUCCCGAUCUCAACCGCCAGCUCACGACAGCCUUGUCGGAUGCAGGCUAUGUCGUAGACCGCGCAUUCGAUGGGGAGGAGGGGCACUUCCUCGGCGACAGCGAGCCCUACGACGCCGUGGUGCUCGACAUCGGGCUCCCCAAAAUGGACGGCAUCUCGGUGCUGGAGGCCUGGCGGCGCAA